GAUGAACGCUGGCGGCGUGCCUAAUACAUGCAAGUCGAGCGAACAGACGAGGAGUUUGCUCCUCUGACGUUAGCGGCGGACGGGUGAGUAACACGUGGAUAACCUACCUAUAAGACUGGGAUAACUUCGGGAAACCGGAGCUAAUACCGGAUAAUAUAUUGAACCGCAUGGUUCAAUAGUGAAAGACGGUUUUGCUGUCACUUAUAGAUGGAUCCGCGCCGCAUUAGCUAGUUGGUAAGGUAACGGCUUACCAAGGCAACGAUGCGUAGCCGACCUGAGAGAGUGAUCGGCCACACUGGAGGUGAGACGCGGUCCAGACUCCUACGAGAGGCAGCAGUAGGGAAUCUUCCGCAAUGGGCGAGAGCUUGACGGAGCAACGCCGCGUGAGUGAUGAAGGUCUUCGGAUCGUAAAACUCUGUUAUUAGGGAAGAACAAAUGUGUAAGUAACUAUGCACGUCUUGACGGUACCUGAUCAGAAAGCCACGGCUAACUACGUG
rnacentral:rRNA from 1 species